rnacentral:rRNA from 1 species
CGUGUAGGCGGUCGAUCAAGUCCGGUGUGAAAGCCCGGGGCUCAGCCCCGGAAGUGCACCGGAAACUAGCCGACUUGAGCGCGAUAGAGGAGGGUGGAAUUCCUGGUGUAGCGGUGAAAUGCGUAGAUAUCAGGAGGAACAUCGGCGGCGAAGGCGGCCCUCUGGCUCGUUGCUGACGCUGAGACGCGAAAGCGUGGGGAGCAAACAGGAUUAGAUACCCUGGUAGUCCACGCUGUAAACGAUGGGUACUAGGUGUUCGGGGUGUUGACCCCCUGAGUGCCGACGCUAACGCAUUAAGUACCCCGCCUGGGGACUACGGCCGCAAGGCUAAA